AAAUGAGGACUUGUUUUGGAAGCUCUGCUUCUAAUCAGAACGAAGCUUCAUUUUAGUCUUCUCUGAAUGUAUUAAGUUACCCUCUGAUUUGCUCGUUAAAAGUACCCAAGGGAGAGCAGAAGGGCUCACUGGUUAUAUUCUUGCAACUCUCCCCUUGUUGGCAAGGACCAAGGAUUUCUCCUUCUCUAUAAUGAGGAAUGAAAGGGUUAAGUCAGAGUCCUGAGUUUUGCCCAAGUUUUACUGCAGUCCGUCCAAAUAAUCCCUGAUCAUGUUACAAAUAUUGCACAACUGACCUCUUUCUUAAUCAGCAGUGUCGUAUGUUGAAGGGGCCUUCCCUCAUGAGGAAGCAAGAAGGUGGCAGCGGGUGGAGAGGCAACAUGAUCUCUUUGCAGGAUAUCAUCAUGAGGAACUGUGAUGACUGAAACAUGGAUGGUUCUUCUCCAACACAGUUGUUUUCCAGUCAGAUGAGCUUCUGGCAUACAGUGGAGCAGCAAAAGGAACCUCAGUUUGUGUCAGUAACUGCCAACUGAUGAGAGUGCCUGUAAAUCAUGUCUGAGCAGUUAUGAAUGAAAGAACAGGAUCUCAUGGGUAGUGAUCUGUUUCUCAAUGGUUGCCUCCCUCUCUCUUGCCAAAUAUGCCCCAGAUAUGGUCAAGGAGAUAACAGAUUAGCAGUCUAAAAGCCCCAUUUAUGCAUCCACUUGGUCUUAAAUGAUGAGCUGCAGCUAAAAGGGCACUGAAUAAGCCAUUGCCAACAAGAGACUUGAGCCGUGUCUGCACAAUGAAGCUGUAUUCACUUAAUUAAAGCCGUUUCAAAAUUCAUUUAGGGCCAUUCUUCCUAGUGAAAUUUACCAGCAGAAUUAUACUGAUAUGUGAGUAUAAUUGUGCUGUAAAAUUCACCAUGUAGACUAACACACUAUAUCUGCCUGGGUGAACACUUAUUCUAGAAAGUGGCAGUUGUGGGAGUUAUGCCAAUUUAAAUACAGUCACAUAACUAUACAGGUAGAGUUCUGCCAAUAAAUUUCUCUUGCAAAAUGCA